GACUGCUUGGCGAAACGGAAUCGCGUCACCUUCCGGCAUAGGAGCUUGGUGAAGAUUGCGGGUUCGAUUCCCGUAGCAGUCA
rnacentral:tRNA from 1 species